GACGAACCGUCCAAACGUUGUUCGGAAUCGCUGGGCUUAAAGGGCGCGUAGGCGGGUUCCCAAGUCGGUGGUGAAAUCUUUCGGCUCAACCGGAAAACAGCCGCCGAUACUGGGGACCUCGAGGGAGGUAGGGGUCGAGGGAACUUCCGGUGGAGCGGUGAAAUGCGUAGAUAUCGGAAGGAACGCCGGUGGCGAAAGCGCUCGACUGGACCUCUUCUGACGCUGAGGCGCGAAAGCCAGGGGAGCAAACGGG
rnacentral:rRNA from 1 species